rnacentral:rRNA from 1 species
UACAGAGGUGGCAAGCGUUGUUCGGAAUUACUGGGCGUAAAGGGCGCGUAGGCGGUUCGUUAAGUCCUGUGUGAAAUCCCCCGGCUCAACUGGGGAACUGCACAGGAAACUAGCGGGCUUGAGUUCGGGAGAGGGAAGCGGAAUUCACGGUGUAGCAGUGAAAUGCGUAGAUAUCGUGAGGAACACCAGAGGCGAAGGCGACUUCCUGGACAAUUGCUGACGCUCAGGCACGAAAGCGUGGGGAGCAAACAGG